GACGAACGCUGGCGGCAUGCCUAACACAUGCAAGUCGAACGAAGUCCUUCGGGGCUUAGUGGCGCACGGGCGCGUAACGCGUGGGAAUCUGCCCUUGGGUUCGGAAUAACAGUUAGAAAUGACUGCUAAUACCGGAUGAUGACGAAAGUCCAAAGAUUUAUCGCCCAGGGAUGAGCCCGCGUAGGAUUAGGUAGUUGGUGGGGUAAAGGCCUACCAAGCCGACGAUCCUUAGCUGGUCUGAGAGGAUGAUCAGCCACACUGGGACUGAGACACGGCCCAGACUCCUACGGGAGGCAGCAGUGGGGAAUAUUGGACAAUGGGGGAAACCCUGAUCCAGCAAUGCCGCGUGAGUGAUGAAGGCCUUAGGGUUGUAAAGCUCUUUUACCAGGGAUGAUAAUGACAGUACCUGGAGAAUAAGCUCCGGCUAACUCCGUGCCAGCAGCCGCGGUAAUACGGAGGGAGCUAGCGUUGUUCAGAAUUACUGGGCGUAAAGCGCACGUAGGCGGUUAUUCAAGUCAGAUGUGAAAGCCCGGGGCUCUAUCCCGGAACACCCUUUGAAACUAGAUAACUAGAAUUCUGGAGAGGUCAGUGGAAUUCCGAGUGUAGAGGUGAAAUUCCUAGAUAUUUGAGAAGAACCCCAGUGGCGAAAGCGACUGUCUGGACAGAUAUUGACACUGAUGUGUGAAAACGUGGGGGGAACAAACGAGUUUAUACCCCUGUGUAGACCGGGGGAGUAUUCCAUAGUGGGCUGCCCCCCGGGGUGAUCUCUAUCUAUAGAGCGGCCGCACGGGGGACCUCUUAUUCGUACUAUAGUGGAGUCUUAUUCGCCCGCUGCUGGCCUUCUUAUAACAAAA
rnacentral:rRNA from 1 species